rnacentral:rRNA from 1 species
GUCGGCGACCUCACCACGUUGAAAGCACCGGUUCUAGUCCGAUCACCGAAGUUAAGCAACGUUGGGCCCGAUUAGUACUAUUGCGUCGGUGGCACAGUGGUUAAGACGCUCGCCAACC